UACGGAGGGUGCAAGCAUUAAUCGGAUUUAUUGGGCGUAAAGGGCGCGUAGGCGGAAAUAUAAGUCAGGUGUGAAAUCCCGGGGCUCAACCCCGGAACGGCAUUUGAAACUAUAUUCCUUGAGGGUAGGCGGAGAAACGGAAUUCCACAUGUAGCGGUGAAAUGCGUAGAUAUGUGGCAGAACAUCGGUGGCGAAGGCGGUUUUCUAGCUUAUUCCUGACGCUGAGGCGCGAAAGUAAGGGGAUCAAACAGG
rnacentral:rRNA from 1 species